rnacentral:rRNA from 2 species
GUCUGUUUGUAGGUGUAAAUAGUCUAGCCUGCCCACUGAUAAAUAUUAAAGGGCCGCGGUAUUCUGACCGUGCAAAGGUAGCAUAAUCGUUAGUUUCUUAAUUGGGAUCUUGUAUGAAUGGUUGGACAAAAGAGAAUCUGUCUUUAUAGUUGACAUUGAACUUAACUUUUAAGUGAAAAGGCUUAAAUAUAUUAAAGGGACGAUAAGACCCUAUAAAGCUUGAUAUUCUUUUAGUAUUAAGUCUAAUUCGAGGGCUAUAAAGGCUUGGUGCUUAAAUUUUAUUAUAUUGGGGCGAUAAAAGUAAAAUGAAUAAUAACUGCUUUAUUUUUGGACAAAAUUUAAUGAUUAGUGUGUAACAAAAGAUCCUAAAUAUAGAUUUAAAGAUUAAGUUACUUUAGGGAUAACAGCGUUAUUUUUUUUGAGAGUUCUUAUCGAAAAAAAAGUUUGCGACCUCGAUGUUGAAUUAAAAUUUCUUUACAAUUGCAGGAGUUGUAAGAGAAGGUCUGUUCGACCUUUAAAAUUUU